ACUUAAAUUGAAGAGUUUGAUCAUGGCUCAGAUUGAACGCUGGCGGCAGGCCUAACACAUGCAAGUCGAGCGGUAGCACAGAGAGCUUGCUCUCGGGUGACGAGCGGCGGACGGGUGAGUAAUGUCUGGGAAACUGCCUGAUGGAGGGGGAUAACUACUGGAAACGGUAGCUAAUACCGCAUAACGUCGCAAGACCAAAGUGGGGGACCUUCGGGCCUCAUGCCAUCAGAUGUGCCCAGAUGGGAUUAGCUGGUAGGUGGGGUAACGGCUCA
rnacentral:rRNA from 1 species